ACUGCCUGAUGGAGGGGGAUAACUACUGGAAACGGUAGCUAAUACCGCAUAACGUCGCAAGACCAAAGAGGGGGACCUUCGGGCCUCUUGCCAUCGGAUGUGCCCAGAUGGGAUUAGCUAGUAGGUGAGGUAACGGCUCACCUAGGCGACGAUCCCUAGCUGGUCUGAGAGGAUGACCAGCCACACUGGAACUGAGACACGGUCCAGACUCCUACGGGAGGCAGCAGUGGGGAAUAUUGCACAAUGGGCGCAAGC
rnacentral:rRNA from 1 species